UACGUAGGGUGCGAGCGUUGUCCGGAAUUAUUGGGCGUAAAGAGCUCGUAGGCGGUCUGUCGCGUCGAAUGUGAAAACCCGGGGCUCAACUCCGGGCUUGCAUUCGAUACGGGCAGGCUAGAGUUCGGUAGGGGAGUCUGGAAUUCCUGGUGUAGCGGUGAAAUGCGCAGAUAUCAGGAGGAACACCAAUAGCGAAGGCAGCUCGCUGGGACGGUACUGACGCUAAGGCGCGAAAGCGUGGGGAGCGAACAGG
rnacentral:rRNA from 1 species